rnacentral:rRNA from 1 species
AUUGAACGCUGGCGGCAGGCCUAACACAUGCAAGUCGAACGGAGUGGCGGACGGGUGAGUAAUGUCUGGAAAACUGCCUGAUGGAGGGGGAUAACUACUGGAAACGGUCGCUAAUACCGCAUAAUCUCAUGUGAGCCUAGGUCGGAUUAGCUAGUUGGUGGGGUAAAGGCCUACCAAGGCGACGAUCCGUAACUGGUCUGAGAGGAUGAUCAGUCACACUGGAACUGAGACACGGUCCAGACUCCUACGGGAGGCAGCAGUGGGGAAUAUUGGACAAUGGGCGAAAGCCUGAUCCAGCCAUGCCGCGUGUGUGAAGAAGGUCUUCGGAUUGUAAAGCACUUUAAGUUGGGAGGCGUUACCAACAGAAUAAGCACCGGCUAACUUCGUGCCAGCAGCCGCGGUAAUUC